rnacentral:rRNA from 1 species
GUCGAGAAUCUUUCACAAUGGGGGCAACCCUGAUGGAGCGACGCCGCGUGGAGGAUAAGGUCUUCGGAUUGUAAACUCCUGUCAUGCGUGAACAAGGUUGCUUGGUUAAUACCUGGGCAAAUUGAUGGUAACGCAAGAGGAAGAGACGGCUAACUCUGUGCCAGCAGCCGCGGUAAUACAGAGGUCUCAAGCGUUGUUCGGAAUCACUGGGCGUAAAGGGUGCGUAGGUGGCGUGGUAAGUCAGAUGUGAAAGCCCGGGGCUCAACCUCGGAACUGCAUCCGAUACUGCCAUGCUAGAGUACUGGAGAGGUGACUAGAAUUCUCGGUGUAGCAGUGAAAUGCGUAGAUAUCGAGAGGAAUACCAAAGGCGUAGGCAGGUCACUAGACAGUUACUGACACUGAGGCACGAAGGCCAGGGGAGCGAACGGGAUUAGAAACCCGUGUAGUCC